UAGUUAAUCAUAAGUUCAUUAAAAAAGUGUGAAGAACAAACCAGGAACGACUUGAUAAUUGAUCAUUUGUGCCUCAUACUGAGUAGUUACUCAGUAGUCCCUCAUUACUUCAUCAUUACUUUAUGAUUACUUUGUGGCCCUUCAAGCCUGGGUCACUUCUCCUGGGAAGGGAUCACAGGAACCACCUUUAUGAUAUGAUUCACCUCUACACAAGCUCAGGCUCAUUCCGUCCUAGACUGCUUGCUGUGAAGCCUUAUGCUCAGGUCCGUCUGCCAUAAAGACUUAAUUUUCAAAAGUGACAGAGAAAUUGGCGUUCUUCUCCUUAGAGAACCUGUCCCGGUGCCUGCAUGCAUCAGUAUGCACUGUGUGGGCGGCUGUCAACAGUGAACAUUCAGACCAACCCAGCUUUGGGAGUAGGCGUGUAUAUGUGACUGUUAGCCUAAACUCCUUAUGUCUGCCUAGUAAACUCAAGUGUUUCUGCUUUUCUGACAAUUUUGCAGAAACAAUAAGCAACCAGUAACCACUGGCUGCAGGUCUUGUUGACAUCAAAUCUGUUUUGCAUAUGAAGAAUAAAAACUUUGCU
rnacentral:lncRNA from 1 species